UUCACCAAUAGAAUUCAGAAUUUAGAACUCAGUUAAUAGUCAUCUUUAAAACUUUUUCCAAAAACUUCCUUUUGCAAUGUGUAGUUCAUUUGAUGAAUGUGGUACAGAUCAACAAUGGACCUACUAUUUUGCAAAAUGGAACAUCGGCUGGGGGAUAUUUAUUCUAAUAUUUUGCCUAAUCUUCAUUGUUAGCACGAGCUCGGAUAAGUCGAUAGAGAUAAUUUCUGAGAGCACGGAGAAUGGAGUAUUGAAAGAAUCGAGAUUCAAUAUACUUCCAAUUCUUUCUUAUGGGUCCUGUAUAUUUGCGGCAUCAUACAUGCUAAUAUUCAAACAUUUUACUCUGUAGAGUAAGAAAACCAUGUUCACUAUAGGGAAGUACUUAAGCCAUUUAAUGCCGUGUUGGGGUUUCCUCACCGUAUUUUUACCAAUUGUGCAUUUCAUUGUCUUGCGCAGAGUGUGCAAAUAUUACCGUGCGCGCUGGCGAUGAUCCUCUGCGAAAUUCUUCGUCUUCAGAGUACUGAUAUGGCUACCUCCGGUUUCAAGAAUAUCUGCUUCAUGUUCCGAAUUGGCUCUUUUAUUCCUUAACAAGGAGUAACUUCAACUCAAAUGUAAUUAAACACCCCCGACAAUGGUCAUGCGAUCAUAUUCCUCAGCGACAAACCGCUGGGCAUGUAUUUUUGACCCACACAGGAAGGUACUCGACACAAACAAACAUACUCUCUCAUGUGAGCACACUCCCUCCCACUCAGAAAUGUUUGUAUCUUUCAAUACACGAGAAAU